GAUACACCGAAGCUGCGGGCCCGGAUUUAAUCCGGGCGGUAGCGGAGCGUUCCGUAGGCCGAUGAAGGCAGACCCGCGAGGGCUGCUGGAGGUAUCGGAAGUGAGAAUGCUGACAUGAGUAGCGACAAAGAGGGUGAGAGACCCUCUCGCCGAAAGUCCAAGGGUUCCUGCGCAAUGCUAAUCAGCGCAGGGUUAGUCGGCCCCUAACGCGAGGCAGAAAUGCGUAGUGGAUGGGAAGCAGGUUAAUAUUCCUGCACCGGCGGGU
rnacentral:rRNA from 1 species